UACGGAGGGUGCAAGCGUUAUCCGGAUUCACUGGGUUUAAAGGGUGCGUAGGUGGCUUUGUAAGUCAGUGGUGAAAGCCCGGAGCUUAACUCCGGAACUGCAUUUGAUACUGCGGUGCUUGAGGACUGGAGAGGAGACUGGAAUUCAUGGUGUAGCAGUGAAAUGCGUAGAGAUCAUGAGGAAGACCAGUGGCGAAGGCGGGUCUCUGGACGGUUCCUGACACUGAGGCACGAAGGCCAGGGGAGCAAACGGG
rnacentral:rRNA from 1 species